rnacentral:rRNA from 1 species
AGCGUACACGGUGGAUGCCCUGGCAGUCAGAGGCGAUGAAGGACGUGCUAAUCUGCGAUAAGCGUCGGUAAGGUGAUAUGAACCGUUAUAACCGGCGAUUUCCGAAUGGGGAAACCCAGUGUGAUUCGUCACACUAUCAUUAACUGAAUCCAUAGGUUAAUGAGGCGAACCGGGGGAACUGAAACAUCUAAGUACCCCGAGGAAAAGAAAUCAACCGAGAUUCCCCCAGUAGCGGCGAGCGAACGGGGAGGAGCCCAGAGCCUGAAUCAGUGUGUGUGUUAGUGGAAGCGUCUGGAAAGGCGCGCGAUACAGGGUGACAGCCCCGUACACAAAAAUGCACAUACUGUGAGCUCGAUGAGUAGGGCGGGACACGUGGUAUCCUGUCUGAAUAUGGGGGGACCAUCCUCCAAGGCUAAAUACUCCUGACUGACCGAUAGUGAACCAGUACCGUGAGGGAAAGGCGAAAAGAACCCCGGCGAGGGGAGUGAAAAAGAACCUGAAACCGUGUACGUACAAGCAGUGGGAGCCUCUUUAUGGGGUGACUGCGUACCUUUUGUAUAAUGGGUCAGCGACUUAUAUUCUGUAGCAAGGUUAACCGAAUAGGGGAGCCGAAGGGAAACCGAGUCUUAACUGGGCGUUAAGUUGCAGGGUAUAGACCCGAAACCCGGUGAUCUAGCCAUGGGCAGGUUGAAGGUUGGGUAACACUAACUGGAGGACCGAACCGACUAAUGUUGAAAAAUUAGCGGAUGACUUGUGGCUGGGGGUGAAAGGCCAAUCAAACCGGGAGAUAGCUGGUUCUCCCCGAAAGCUAUUUAGGUAGCGCCUCGUGAAUUCAUCUCCGGGGGUAGAGCACUGUUUCGGCAAGGGGGUCAUCCCGACUUACCAACCCGAUGCAAACUGCGAAUACCGGAGAAUGUUAUCACGGGAGACACACGGCGGGUGCUAACGUCCGUCGUGAAGAGGGAAACAACCCAGACCGCCAGCUAAGGUCCCAAAGUCAUGGUUAAGUGGGAAACGAUGUGGGAAGGCCCAGACAGCCAGGAUGUUGGCUUAGAAGCAGCCAUCAUUUAAAGAAAGCGUAAUAGCUCACUGGUCGAGUCGGCCUGCGCGGAAGAUGUAACGGGGCUAAACCAUGCACCGAAGCUGCGGCAGCGACACUAUGUGUUGUUGGGUAGGGGAGCGUUCUGUAAGCCUGUGAAGGUGGCCUGUGAGGGUUGCUGGAGGUAUCAGAAGUGCGAAUGCUGACAUAAGUAACGAUAAAGCGGGUGAAAAGCCCGCUCGCCGGAAGACCAAGGGUUCCUGUCCAACGUUAAUCGGGGCAGGGUGAGUCGACCCCUAAGGCGAGGCCGAAAGGCGUAGUCGAUGGGAAACAGGUUAAUAUUCCUGUACUUGGUGUUACUGCGAAGGGGGGACGGAGAAGGCUAUGUUGGCCGGGCGACGGUUGUCCCGGUUUAAGCGUGUAGGCUGGUUUUCCAGGCAAAUCCGGAAAAUCAAGGCUGAGGCGUGAUGACGAGGCACUACGGUGCUGAAGCAACAAAUGCCCUGCUUCCAGGAAAAGCCUCUAAGCAUCAGGUAACAUCAAAUCGUACCCCAAACCGACACAGGUGGUCAGGUAGAGAAUACCAAGGCGCUUGAGAGAACUCGGGUGAAGGAACUAGGCAAAAUGGUGCCGUAACUUCGGGAGAAGGCACGCUGAUAUGUAGGUGAAGCGACUUGCUCGUGGAGCUGAAAUCAGUCGAAGAUACCAGCUGGCUGCAACUGUUUAUUAAAAACACAGCACUGUGCAAACACGAAAGUGGACGUAUACGGUGUGACGCCUGCCCGGUGCCGGAAGGUUAAUUGAUGGGGUUAGCGGUAACGCGAAGCUCUUGAUCGAAGCCCCGGUAAACGGCGGCCGUAACUAUAACGGUCCUAAGGUAGCGAAAUUCCUUGUCGGGUAAGUUCCGACCUGCACGAAUGGCGUAAUGAUGGCCAGGCUGUCUCCACCCGAGACUCAGUGAAAUUGAACUCGCUGUGAAGAUGCAGUGUACCCGCGGCAAGACGGAAAGACCCCGUGAACCUUUACUAUAGCUUGACACUGAACAUUGAGCCUUGAUGUGUAGGAUAGGUGGGAGGCUUUGAAGUGUGGACGCCAGUCUGCAUGGAGCCGACCUUGAAAUACCACCCUUUAAUGUUUGAUGUUCUAACGUUGACCCGUUAUCCGGGUUGCGGACAGUGUCUGGUGGGUAGUUUGACUGGGGCGGUCUCCUCCUAAAGAGUAACGGAGGAGCACGAAGGUUGGCUAAUCCUGGUCGGACAUCAGGAGGUUAGUGCAAUGGCAUAAGCCAGCUUGACUGCGAGCGUGACGGCGCGAGCAGGUGCGAAAGCAGGUCAUAGUGAUCCGGUGGUUCUGAAUGGAAGGGCCAUCGCUCAACGGAUAAAAGGUACUCCGGGGAUAACAGGCUGAUACCGCCCAAGAGUUCAUAUCGACGGCGGUGUUUGGCACCUCGAUGUCGGCUCAUCACAUCCUGGGGCUGAAGUAGGUCCCAAGGGUAUGGCUGUUCGCCAUUUAAAGUGGUACGCGAGCUGGGUUUAGAACGUCGUGAGACAGUUCGGUCCCUAUCUGCCGUGGGCGCUGGAGAACUGAGGGGGGCUGCUCCUAGUACGAGAGGACCGGAGUGGACGCAUCACUGGUGUUCGGGUUGUCAUGCCAAUGGCACUGCCCGGUAGCUAAAUGCGGAAGAGAUAAGUGCUGAAAGCAUCUAAGCACGAAACUUGCCCCGAGAUGAGUUCUCCCUGACUCCUUGA